rnacentral:rRNA from 1 species
GACGAACGCUGGCGGCGUGCUUAACACAUGCAAGUCGAACGGAAAGGCCCUGCUUUUGCGGGGUGCUCGAGUGGCGAACGGGUGAGUAACACGUGAGUAACCUGCCCUUGACUUUGGGAUAACUUCAGGAAACUGGGGCUAAUACCGGAUAGGAGCUCCUGCUGCAUGGUGGGGGUUGGAAAGUUUCGGCGGUUGGGGAUGGACUCGCGGCUUAUCAGCUUGUUGGUGGGGUAGUGGCUUACCAAGGCUUUGACGGGUAGCCGGCCUGAGAGGGUGACCGGCCACAUUGGGACUGAGAGACGGCCCAGACUCCUACGGGAGGCAGCAGUGGGGAAUAUUGCACAAUGGGCGGAAGCCUGAUGCAGCAACGCCGCGUGCGGGAUGACGGCCUUCGGGUUGUAAACCGCUGUCGCCUGUGACGAAGCGUGAGUGACGGUAAUGGGUAAAGAAGCACCGGCUAACUACGUG